rnacentral:misc_RNA from 1 species
UACGUAGGUGGCAAGCGUUAUCCGGAAUUAUUGGGCGUAAAGCGCGCGUAGGCGGUCUGUUAAGUCUGAUGUGAAAGCCCCCGGCUCAACCGGGGAGGGCCAUUGGAAACUGGGGAACUUGAGUGCAGAAGAGGAGAGUGGAAUUCCGCGUGUAGCGGUGAAAUGCGUAGAUAUAUGGAGGAACACCAGUGGCGAAGGCGGCUCUCUGGUCUGCAACUGACGCUGAGGUGCGAAAGCGUGGGGAUCAAACAGG